rnacentral:tRNA from 1 species
GGGCGGAUGGCGGAAUUGGCAGACGCGCAUGGUUCAGGGCCAUGUGAUAGAAAUAUCUUGGAGGUUCAAAUCCUCUUCCGCCCA